GUUAGUACUGAUGCAUAUUUAUUGAACAUGUGGAUGUACUCAGCACUGUGUGAGGCACUGUCCAUACACCAGGUAGGUGAAUGUUAUACCCAUUUUACUGAUGGGUAACUGAGGCACUACAAUAUUUAUUUAAAGGUUGCACACCAACUCAACUAAGACUGCCUCCAGAGCCCUUGUCUCCUCACCUCUGUAGCAUCCCCACAAUGUUGCCCUGCCCACUGCUACAUCCUCAGGGAUGCAUCCCUGAGUCCUGGGCACACACAAAUGCGCCCAGGUUAUAGCUUUCUUCCUGAGGCUCCUGACUACAAAACUGGCUCCAUCUGGGGAAGCAGACACCAGAAAGCCAUGAGAGAGCAGCAGAGAGACAGAUAGAGGCACUCCAAAGGGUGAGAAGCAAAGGCCUGAGGUCUGGAUCAUUUGACUGGCACCACAAGACUCAGGUUCUGUCUAAACAUUUGCCCCUCAUCACUGCUGAGCAGAGGAGAAAGGGACUAAUAGAGCAGCUGAGGAACCGUCGAGUUCAGGGAGCUGGAAAUGCUGGCCCUGAAGCAGAAAGCCCUACCUCCAAUCCUUGCUUCAAUCUGGAGCCCUUGGCCACUGCUGGCCCACUGCAGAAGGUACAAAGCCAUCUGAGGAGCUCUUCACAGGGUCUCAGUCCAACCAUGUUGCAGCCACAUCUAAAUCAAGUCCCUUUUGUAGGGGUGGACCUUCUUCCAUAUCGAAACUCCAGUAUUGAUGGCAGGAUUGACUGACAGUGUGCACUAAGUCCCGCACAGCAUCUCUGGAUAUGUGACCCACGUGCUAUCUGUCCUCAGGACACUAUGGUGACCAGCUGCAGAGUAUGGGGUUCUAUCAGCUCAGAACGGACCAUUGGGUCUUAGCUUUGGUGUCUUGGUGAUAUGCCUGUCUGAGUCCACUGUGGUUCUGGUUCCUGGGCCAUCCUGGGGCACGCUGUUGGGUUUGGGAUGCUGAUGUGCAAUGAUGUCAGGUACAUGAUGGGAAGUGCAAAGUGAAAGGGCAUAGGAUAUGCACAUAGAAUUUUAAAAAAGCAGAGGAUUGACAGUCACCUUAGCUGGCGUCGCUGGUCCUACCAGAUCUGUGUGGUCUUCUGCAAUAUGCUAUCUGCACCAGCCUCUGGUCUACUUGCAGUUCAUCCCUUGCUUUAACCAGCACCUAUGGCGCCGGUUUCUGCCUUCUGCUCUUUGAGAAAGACAAGUCCGGUUUCUGCCUUCCACUCAUUGAGAAAAACAAGUCCUUGAGAAAAGCAAGUCCCUAUUUGGCUGUUCCUGCUUGGCCUGGUCGCUUCCGCAUAGUACAACCUAUCCGCUGUACCCACAUGGCUUGCUAGGAUUGGCUAGUGCUAGCUAUUUAAGUGUGGUUUGGGGAUUUCCCGGGGUCAGAAGAUUGUAUCAUGGUUCCUGAGUAAAUCUGCUUGAAGAUCUUCGCUGGUCGUGUCUUCCUUGCUGGUCGAGGUUGGGCGCGACACCUAUCUAUCUGACUAUGUCAGUUUGGCAUUUGAAUUUCAAAGAUCCUACAGUAAUGUUGCUCCAAGUAUCAGACAGUGAGUAAACUCUCAGUGAGGUGGAGCUGAGCAUGCAGACUCCGUGUAGAGCAAACCAUGUCUGAUGCCAGCAUGUAUCAGUUUCAGGCUAUUGCUGCUUGAGAGUUAGAGCAUGUGAACCUUGAACCUACUUAGGACUUUGAUGUUGAGUAGAAAGAAUGUUCAAAGUAGGCAGAUUUUAAAUCAGGACAAGUAUCAAAGAAAGCCUUGGCAUAAUGUGUUUGAUAGACUCCUCUGACUUCCUAGUAUGGAACUGUAGUAAACACAGCCUUUAUGACACGUUUGUGUGAGCACAAUCUGUGGCAGACCUUGCUUUAUUCCCAAGGAACCCAUACAGUGGGAAGAGCACAUCCUCAGUGAAGCACUGCAAAAGCCUUGAUCUCUUUAUGCAGGAAGAAGACUGGACUCACUUUCCUGUAUUUGACAGCACAUUUGUGUCCUAUUCAGGGAACAGAGAUGGUAUUUGGCAAAGUUGUUUGACCAAGCACAAGCUCCCAGCACGACUGACUCUGGAUCUGUGGGCUCAGAGCAGUAUUGUUGCCGAUGGAAAAAGGACUGAAGAGAGACGCACACACAUGCACCCCAGGAGCUGAGCACGGAACACUCGGGACUCACACAUCAUAAGUCGGUAAGCUCUCCCUUCCUCCACCGAGCUUCAGUUUUUCAGCCAUCUCUCCAGCUCAUGUGGAGCUCAUUGGAAAAGCACGCACAUCAAACGUUUGAAAAUAGACACCAGUGAUAUUGGGAAACAACCAGGUUCAGAAGAUCCUCUGAAAGAUCAUCUGUCCUCAAGGAAUUGAUUAAAGACUUCUAAUUGUGGAAACAGCAAGGAUGGCUGGUUAGGAAAAAAAAAAACAUACUCCUACAGAACAGGCAGGCUGAAGGAAAGAGACAAAAUAGAGGGUAACUACUCUACUGUAAGGCAAAGGACUCUUGUCUCAUGUCCAACUUAAUGGAGCUCAUCUUAAUGGACUCUGGGUAUAACUUGGGUCCUCACUCUUAGUACUUUGCCAACUGAGACAUUCCCCCAACUCUGUGUUGUCUUUUCUAUACAUCGUCAAACUGCUAUAGACCAAAGAGAAUUGAGACAUUUGUAUCUCCCUAAAUCUGGGCAAAACUAUAAAUACACUGUUGCCCUUUCCAGUGUCAGCCUCAGUCUGUGGUAGUGGUGAGCAGUGGACCUGAGUUCCCAUUAACCGUAAUGUAGAGUAGCUUCAAUGACAAGUGCAGCUGUGUACAUCAAUUUGUUUGUCCAUCACUACCACUCAGCUGGACACUUCUCAACUCAGAUGCCCAUAUAACCUCUCUUCAGAACCCAAGGCAAAGGAGCCAGUGCUCUCUAGAACAUUCUAAUUCCAUUGCAGAGGCUCAGAACAGAAUAAUAAUCAGGGAUGUGUACAAUGUAUCCAAAGCUUAGCAUGGUGAGUCAUGCCCUCAAUACCUGCUUUUCAGCCCCCCAUCCUUACCCUCUUACCAACAAUCCAGGUUUUAUUACUGGCCAUAAAAGAAAGAGGAGAAACCAGAUCUUGUGAAAUGUUUAAAUAACCUUAAAUUUUAUUUAAUAAAAAUUGCAUAAACACAACCAUAAGAUAAUGAAUAGAAAAGUUAAAUACAAACUACCACAUGUAAAAUAGGUUAUUGUAUAACUGGUAGUAUCAAGCCUAAAUACUAAAUCCCCAACUUCCACAGUGGGAAUGUUAAUAUAAUAAAAAAAAUCUUAAUUUCACAUUAAUA
rnacentral:sRNA from 1 species